rnacentral:rRNA from 1 species
CCCUUAGACGUUCUGGGCCGCACGCGCGCUACACUGACAAAGGCAACGAGCUACUCUUCACCGAAAGGUGUGAGUAAUCUUUUGAAACUUUGUCGUGCUGGGGAUAGAUCCUUGCAAUUUUUGAUCUUAAACGAGGAAUUCCUAGUAAGCGCAAGUCAUCAACUUGCGUUGAUUACGUCCCUGCCCUUUGUACACACCGCCCGUCGCUACUACCGAUUGAAUGGUUUAGUGAGGCCUUCGGAUCCGCGACUCGUUUGUGGAGAAGUUGGACAAACUCAGUCAUUUAGAGGAAGUAAAAGUCGUAACA